UUGUUACUUUUUGGUUUUUCUAUUUGGUUUCACUACUACAAUCUAUUUCGCUGAGUUUUCUAUUUACCUUUUGUGGCUACUUUUCCCUUUCACUACUUUUCUGACCACUUUUCAUCUUCAUUGCUUUUCUGACCACUUUUCAUGUUUUUCAUCUUCAUGGAAUUUUACUUUUGAAGGAUAACUCACCUUUUAAGCACACUUUUGAUAAUUUAAAACUCUUAUAAUUUGUCUUCUUCAUCUAUUUAAGCCCUCAACCAUCUAUUACUAUCGGGUUUUGUUCUUUGUGAGUAGCAAUUGAAGUCUGGGUGUGGCGACAAGAAAGGUUGGGUCUCUCUUUGCUUCAUUCAAAAAUGUUGAAGAUGUGGGGUGUUACAAGGCUCAAGGUACGAUUGGUUUGCGGAAGGCUCAUCGGUGGACAUCCGGCGUUCCCGCUCGCCCUCCACGGUGAGUCCAUUGUGAUUGAGUUGUUGAUUCACUCUGUCUAUUUAUUACUUCAUUUUUUGGUGUAUUAAAUGAUGACCCGGGUUUAUAUGAUGUUUUUAGGGUUUUUCCUUGUAGGUUUUGAGUCUUUUUUCUUAUGUCUCAUGUAGUGUUUCAUGCAUUCUCAUGCAUUUUAACUUUUAUUUGUGCAAUUGCAUUAGUUUAGUAAUUUUGUAGUUUUAUAAGGGAUUUAGUUGCAUUUUAGUAUAGUUUUGAGUCUUUUGUUAAUUGUCAUUAGUUUUGAGUCCUUUGUGCAAUUAAAUGGUUGGUAUUCUUGAUAUUUUUCCUUGAGCUUUGAUGAGAGUAAUCAGGUCUGAAACUGAAGAAGAAGGAAGGUCAAGAAACUUGGUGAAUUGAAGGGAGGCUUAAAGAGGCAUAAAGAGGAGUUAAAAUGAAGAUCAAGGGACUUUCCAGCGAGUCUGAGCGCCUAGGCAUGCUCCAUUGGCGCCUAGGCGCCAAUUGCCCUGUUCCAGAAAUUGGAAUUGGCGCCUAGGCGCUCUGAAUUGGCGCUCAGGCGCUCUGGAAUUGGCGCUCAGACGCUCUGAAUUGGCGCCUAGGCGCCAAUUACCUUCCAGAGGCACUUUUUCAGCAUGGAAUUGGCGCUCAGGCGCUCUGAAUUGGCGCCUGAGCGCCCGGAACAGCCCAAACUCGUGAUUUUGCCUAUAAAUAGGAUUCUAGUCAUUUUCUUUUGGAAUCUUGGAUAUCUAUUCCAUUUUUACAUAAGUUUAGAAGGAGAGGAACAUCUAGAAGAGUGAGAGAAGGCUUCCAAGCUUGUAAUUCAGGUUCUUAGCCAAGCAUGGCAAGAGCCAUGCUUGGCUAAUCUCUCUUCUUUUGCUUUGAAUUUCUUUGUAAGACUUUUUGUAUUUGAGUUAUAAUCUUAAGUUCUUUCCCA